AGGGCUCUCUCCCGUUUGGUGCGUGAAGCCAGGGCGGGCGGAGGACUCUCUUCAUCCCGCCGCCUGCCCUCGGUUGCCAAGCUCGUGCCCCUUCUCCAUCAUCCUAGACGACGUGGACGUGACGGGGGCCGUGACAGAUCACUGUGUACGGAAGGCAGUUUGCGGGCCUCCGGGGGGCCACACCUUUGCUUCUGUUGCCUCACCGGCUGAGAAUUCCCGGUUCAGCACUGAAGCCUGGCUCUGGCCUCACCUGGGGAAAUUUCCGACGCCCUUGCCUUCCGUUCACGGAGCCGGGUCCCGCGGGUUCCCACCUGAGGGCCUGGCCGCGCGCACCUGUGCUUGGCAACCUGGAAGGAUGACAGGACAUGCUGGAGAUCAGCACAGCACUGCUAGCUGAUGAAGAGGAGUUACACACUAAAGUGUACAUAGAUCAAUCUUUAGCUCAUUUUCACUGCUCAUCAUUGAGGAUCAUUUGAUUUUCAGGCUGAUGGAGUUGAAGUUUUUCUUGGCCUACUAAGAGGAGCACCGGAAUUCAAGGCCACCAAACAGGGAGUGUCCCAGGAGCGGUAGGAUGCCUACACGCCGCGGAAGUUUC